rnacentral:rRNA from 1 species
AUUGAACGCUGGCGGCAGGCCUAACACAUGCAAGUCGAGCGGUAGAAGGGAGCUUGCUCCUCUAUCCAGUGGCGGACGGGUGAGUAAUGCCUCGGAAUCUGCCUUGUAGUGGGGGAUAACUUCCCGAAACGGGCCCUAAUACCGCAUACGUCCUGAGGGCGAAAGUGGGGGGUCCAAAGACCUCACGUUAUCGGAUCAGCCAAGGUCGGCUUAGCUAGUUGGUGGGGUAAAGGCUUACCAAGGCGUCGAUCGGUAACUCGUCUGAGAGGAUGAUCCGUCACGCUGGGACUGGGACACGGCCCAGACUACUACGGGAGGCAGCAGUGGGGAAUGUUGGACAAUGGGCGAAAGCCUGAUCCAGCAAUGCCGCGUGUGUGAAGAAGGUCUUCGGGUUGUAAAGGACUGUUAUCAGGGAGAAACGGCUAUUGGUUAAUGCCGGCGCGGUAUGACGUUACCGGCAGAAUAAGCACCGGCUAACUCCGUG